GAGAAAGUCUUAGAUCUUUGAUUUCAGCCAAAGUCCUUAUUGGCAAGUCAUGCCACUCGGCCACCAUCUUGGCAAUGUCUCUUGCCAGCUAUUUUGGGCUGACAAGACCAGGCUCCUAUCUUUAAUAUUUAAUAUUUUGCUACUUUUCCUAGGAGUCCUACAAAUUGGCUCAUGUUAGCUGUUAAGUUACAUAUGCAAUACAUACUCUUAUAGCUUAGAAUAUGGAUACAAACCCAGACAGAAACAUUCUGUUUUUCAGGAAGAUUUAUGAAGGAACUGCUCUUUGAGAAAGCUACAUAUAAAUGCUAACCCAGAUGUGGGGUGGGACUUAAGCUCUCUGUAGCUGAGCACAGGAUGCAGUUGGAGGCAGAAUGUUUCUGUUUGAUAUACCUAGAAUGUCUCAAGAAUGUAUAUGACGAUUGACAGCCAAGCAUCUAUUCCUUUUCCCUUUUUUCUCCCACUUCUGAAGAACAUUUUGAAAAGCUCAAUUUUCAGUGGUGAAAAAAGUCAAUUUCAUUGGUGUGGCAGAAAGGCCAACUAAGAGAAAAAGAUGGUCUUUGAAAUCAUACACAUCAGUGAAGACAUUAGUAUUUUCGCAAGUCACGCUACUCCCAAGUCGUGCAGACAGCUCUGUUACUGCUUUUAUAAGGACAAGCUGGAAAGGUCAGCAGUGGCUUUCCACUGCUCUACCUCUCUUUAAUCACUCUAGAAGAAACAUAAGUCUACAUGGUCUGUAACGUAAGUUAACAGAGUCGGAAACAGAAACCACCACGGCUGAGAUGCCAGCUUAUCAAUCCACCAAAUUCACAAACAAGACUGGAUACAUUUUGAGCCCCUAACUCGUUCUGGUAAGUACAUCCAUACAUUAACUAUUUUUUUUAGAGAGUUCAUUCAUUUGUUUUUCUCGGUCACUUUAUCACAGGAAGAU